GGAGCGAAGUGCCCCUAAGCCUGUCUACCGUUGCCUAUUUAUCUGAACCUCCGACCGAACGAGGUAGGGCUUGGUAGUUGCGCAGGUUGAAUAGGCUUGCCGUUGUACUGGUCGCACCGCAGCAAGC
rnacentral:ribozyme from 1 species